rnacentral:rRNA from 1 species
AUUGAACGCUGGCGGCAUGCCUUACACAUGCAAGUCGAACGGUAACGCGGGGCAACCUGGCGACGAGUGGCGAACGGGUGAGUAAUGCAUCGGAACGUGCCCAGUAGUGGGGGAUAGCCCGGCGAAAGCCGGAUUAAUACCGCAUACGACCUACGGGUGAAAGGGGGGGAUCGCAAGACCUCUCGCUAUUGGAGCGGCCGAUGUCAGAUUAGGUAGUUGGUGGGGUAAAAGCCUACCAAGCCGACGAUCUGUAGCUGGUCUGAGAGGACGACCAGCCACACUGGGACUGAGACACGGCCCAGACUCCUACGGGAGGCAGCAGUGGGGAAUUUUGGACAAUAGGCGCAAGCCUGAUCCAGCCAUGCCGCGUGCGGGAAGAAGGCCUUCGGGUUGUAAACCGCUUUUGUCAGGGAAGAAAAGGCUCGAACUAAUACUUUGGGCUCAUGACGGUACCUGAAGAAUAAGCACCGGCUAACUACGUGCCAGCAGCCGCCGUAAUAC